GGGUUGUGAGGUUAAGCGACUAAGCGUACACGGUGGAUGCCCUGGCAGUCAGAGGCGAUGAAGGACGUGCUAAUCUGCGAUAAGCGUCGGUAAGGUGAUAUGAACCGUUAUAACCGGCGAUUUCCGAAUGGGGAAACCCAGUGUGUUUCGACACACUAUCAUUAACUGAAUCCAUAGGUUAAUGAGGCGAACCGGGGGAACUGAAACAUCUAAGUACCCCGAGGAAAAGAAAUCAACCGAGAUUCCCCCAGUAGCGGCGAGCGAACGGGGAGCAGCCCAGAGCCUGAAUCAGUGUGUGUGUUAGUGGAAGCGUCUGGAAAGGCGCGCGAUACAGGGUGACAGCCCCGUACACAAAAAUGCACAUGCUGUGAGCUCGAUGAGUAGGGCGGGACACGUGGUAUCCUGUCUGAAUAUGGGGGGACCAUCCUCCAAGGCUAAAUACUCCUGACUGACCGAUAGUGAACCAGUACCGUGAGGGAAAGGCGAAAAGAACCCCGGCGAGGGGAGUGAAAAAGAACCUGAAACCGUGUACGUACAAGCAGUGGGAGCACGCUUAGGCGUGUGACUGCGUACCUUUUGUAUAAUGGGUCAGCGACUUAUAUUCUGUAGCAAGGUUAACCGAAUAGGGGAGCCGAAGGGAAACCGAGUCUUAACUGGGCGUUAAGUUGCAGGGUAUAGACCCGAAACCCGGUGAUCUAGCCAUGGGCAGGUUGAAGGUUGGGUAACACUAACUGGAGGACCGAACCGACUAAUGUUGAAAAAUUAGCGGAUGACUUGUGGCUGGGGGUGAAAGGCCAAUCAAACCGGGAGAUAGCUGGUUCUCCCCGAAAGCUAUUUAGGUAGCGCCUCGUGAAUUCAUCUCCGGGGGUAGAGCACUGUUUCGGCAAGGGGGUCAUCCCGACUUACCAACCCGAUGCAAACUGCGAAUACCGGAGAAUGUUAUCACGGGAGACACACGGCGGGUGCUAACGUCCGUCGUGAAGAGGGAAACAACCCAGACCGCCAGCUAAGGUCCCAAAGUCAUGGUUAAGUGGGAAACGAUGUGGGAAGGCCCAGACAGCCAGGAUGUUGGCUUAGAAGCAGCCAUCAUUUAAAGAAAGCGUAAUAGCUCACUGGUCGAGUCGGCCUGCGCGGAAGAUGUAACGGGGCUAAACCAUGCACCGAAGCUGCGGCAGCGACGCUUAUGCGUUGUUGGGUAGGGGAGCGUUCUGUAAGCCUGUGAAGGUGUGCUGUGAGGCAUGCUGGAGGUAUCAGAAGUGCGAAUGCUGACAUAAGUAACGAUAAAGCGGGUGAAAAGCCCGCUCGCCGGAAGACCAAGGGUUCCUGUCCAACGUUAAUCGGGGCAGGGUGAGUCGACCCCUAAGGCGAGGCCGAAAGGCGUAGUCGAUGGGAAACAGGUUAAUAUUCCUGUACUUGGUGUUACUGCGAAGGGGGGACGGAGAAGGCUAUGUUGGCCGGGCGACGGUUGUCCCGGUUUAAGCGUGUAGGCUGGUUUUCCAGGCAAAUCCGGAAAAUCAAGGCUGAGGCGUGAUGACGAGGCACUACGGUGCUGAAGCAACAAAUGCCCUGCUUCCAGGAAAAGCCUCUAAGCAUCAGGUAACAUCAAAUCGUACCCCAAACCGACACAGGUGGUCAGGUAGAGAAUACCAAGGCGCUUGAGAGAACUCGGGUGAAGGAACUAGGCAAAAUGGUGCCGUAACUUCGGGAGAAGGCACGCUGAUAUGUAGGUGAAGUCCCUCGCGGAUGGAGCUGAAAUCAGUCGAAGAUACCAGCUGGCUGCAACUGUUUAUUAAAAACACAGCACUGUGCAAACACGAAAGUGGACGUAUACGGUGUGACGCCUGCCCGGUGCCGGAAGGUUAAUUGAUGGGGUUAGCCGCAAGGCGAAGCUCUUGAUCGAAGCCCCGGUAAACGGCGGCCGUAACUAUAACGGUCCUAAGGUAGCGAAAUUCCUUGUCGGGUAAGUUCCGACCUGCACGAAUGGCGUAAUGAUGGCCAGGCUGUCUCCACCCGAGACUCAGUGAAAUUGAACUCGCUGUGAAGAUGCAGUGUACCCGCGGCAAGACGGAAAGACCCCGUGAACCUUUACUAUAGCUUGACACUGAACAUUGAGCCUUGAUGUGUAGGAUAGGUGGGAGGCUUAGAAGUGUGGACGCCAGUCUGCAUGGAGCCGACCUUGAAAUACCACCCUUUAAUGUUUGAUGUUCUAACGUUGACCCGUAAUCCGGGUUGCGGACAGUGUCUGGUGGGUAGUUUGACUGGGGCGGUCUCCUCCUAAAGAGUAACGGAGGAGCACGAAGGUUGGCUAAUCCUGGUCGGACAUCAGGAGGUUAGUGCAAUGGCAUAAGCCAGCUUGACUGCGAGCGUGACGGCGCGAGCAGGUGCGAAAGCAGGUCAUAGUGAUCCGGUGGUUCUGAAUGGAAGGGCCAUCGCUCAACGGAUAAAAGGUACUCCGGGGAUAACAGGCUGAUACCGCCCAAGAGUUCAUAUCGACGGCGGUGUUUGGCACCUCGAUGUCGGCUCAUCACAUCCUGGGGCUGAAGUAGGUCCCAAGGGUAUGGCUGUUCGCCAUUUAAAGUGGUACGCGAGCUGGGUUUAGAACGUCGUGAGACAGUUCGGUCCCUAUCUGCCGUGGGCGCUGGAGAACUGAGGGGGGCUGCUCCUAGUACGAGAGGACCGGAGUGGACGCAUCACUGGUGUUCGGGUUGUCAUGCCAAUGGCACUGCCCGGUAGCUAAAUGCGGAAGAGAUAAGUGCUGAAAGCAUCUAAGCACGAAACUUGCC
rnacentral:rRNA from 1 species